rnacentral:tRNA from 1 species
GCUGGGGUAGCAAAGCUUGGUAUGCGCCUUUUUGGGCAUCUCGGAAUGGAACAUUCCGAGUUUUCGGAUACGCUCCCGCAAGCGACCAACUGCGCCGGAUUGCUAAUCCGGUGGGCGCAAGCCCGCGCGAGUUCAAGCGCCUUUUUGCUGCGGCAAAAACCCGCGGGAAAAACGGCACGAACGAAUCUCGUCCCCAGCGCCA